UACGUAGGGUGCGAGCGUUGUCCGGAAUUACUGGGCGUAAAGAGCUCGUAGGUGGUUUGUCGCGUUGUCCGUGAAAACUCACAGCUUAACUGUGGGCGUGCGGGCGAUACGGGCAGACUGGAGUACUGCAGGGGAGACUGGAAUUCCUGGUGUAGCGGUGGAAUGCGCAGAUAUCAGGAGGAACACCGGUGGCGAAGGCGGGUCUCUGGGCAGUAACUGACGCUGAGGAGCGAAAGCGUGGGGAGCAAACGGG
rnacentral:rRNA from 1 species